UACGUAGGUGGCAAGCGUUGUCCGGAUUUACUGGGCGUAAAGAGCGCGCAGGCGGUCGUUCAAGUCGCGUGUGAAAGCCCCCGGCUCAACUGGGGAGGGUCACGCGAUACUGAUCGACUCGAAGGCAGGAGAGGGUAGUGGAAUUCCCGGUGUAGUGGUGAAAUGCGUAGAUAUCGGGAGGAACACCUGUGGUGUAGACGGCUUCGUGGACCGCCACUGACGCUGAGGCACGAAAGCGUGGGUAGCAAACAGG
rnacentral:rRNA from 1 species